rnacentral:rRNA from 1 species
AGAUUGAACGCUGGCGGCAUGCCUAACACAUGCAAGUCGAGCGCCCGUAGCAAUACGGGAGCGGCAGACGGGAUAGUAACACGUGGGAACGCGCCCUUCGGUUCGGAAUAACUCAGGGAAACUUGAGCUAAUACCGAAUACGCCCUUACGGGGAAAGAUUUAUUGCCGAAGGAACGGCCCGCGUCCGAUUAGCUAGUUGGUGAGGUAAUGGCUCACCAAGGCUACGAUCGGUAGCUGGUCUGAGAGGAUGACCAGCAUCACUGGGACUGAGACACGGCCCAGACUCCUACGGGAGGCAGCAGUGGGGAAUAUUGGACAAUGGGCGCAAGCCUGAUCCAGCCAUGCCGCGUGGAUGAUGAAGGCCUUAGGGUUGUAAAGUCCUUUUAACGGGGAAGAUAAUGACGGUACCCGUAGAAUAAGCCCCGGCUAACUUCGCGCCAGCAGCCGC